rnacentral:rRNA from 1 species
GACGAACGCUGGCGGCGUGCUUAACACAUGCAAGUCGAACGGAAAGGCCCUGCUUUUGUGGGGUGCUCGAGUGGCGAACGGGUGAGUAACACGUGAGUAACCUGCCCUUGACUUUGGGAUAACUUCAGGAAACUGGGGCUAAUACCGGAUAGGAGCUCCUGCCGCAUGGUGGGGGUUGGAAAGUUUCGGCGGUUGGGGAUGGACUCGCGGCUUAUCAGCUUGUUGGUGGGGUAGUGGCUUACCAAGGCUUUGACGGGUAGGCGGCCUGAGAGGGUGACCGGCCACAUUGGGACUGAGAUACGGCCCAGACUCCUACGGGAGGCAGCAGUGGGGAAUAUUGCACAAUGGGCGGAAGCCUGAUGCAGCAACGCCGCGUGCGGGAUGACGGCCUUCGGGUUGUAAACCGCUUUCGCCUGUGACGAAGCGUGAGUGACGGUAAUGGGUAAAGAAGCACCGGCUAACUACGUG